GAUGAACGCUGGCGGCGUGCCUAAUACAUGCAAGUCGAGCGAACAGACGAGGAGCUUGCUCCUCUGACGUUAGCGGCGGACGGGUGAGUAACACGUGGAUAACCUACCUAUAAGACUGGGAUAACUUCGGGAAACCGGAGCUAAUACCGGAUAAUAUAUUGAACCGCAUGGUUUAAUAGUGAAAGACGGCUUUGCUGUCACUUAUAGAUGGAUCCGCGCCGCAUUAGCUAGUUGGUAAGGUAACGGCUUACCAAGGCAACGAUGCGUAGGCGACCUGAGAGGGUGAUCGGCCACACUGGAACUGAGACACGGUCCAGACUCCUACGGGAGGCAGCAGUAGGGAAUCUUCCGCAAUGGGCGAAAGCCUGACGGAGCAACGCCGCGUGAGUGAUGAAGGUCUUCGGAUCGUAAAACUCUGUUAUUAGGGAAGAACAAAUGUGUAAGUAACUAUGCACGUCUUGACGGUACCUAAUCAGAAAGCCACGGCUAACUACGUG
rnacentral:rRNA from 1 species